CAUUCUUUGUUGUAAAUGCAGCUUAAUAUGAUGCGGGAGCGAUACAAGACCAGGGUUCAAAUUGAGGGGGGGCUGGGGCGGUCCCGGACCCCUCAUAAGGUCUAAAAUAAUGAAUUUGGGGGUCCCCUGGUUUUCCAUUAAAACUAGACUACUAAAAACCCAAAAUUAGUUUUCUCAAAAUUAUCACGCUAAAACAAAACACAGUUGUCCGUUAUUUGUCCAAAUUUCAUGAGACACAAAUAAAAUUUACAUUUUUAUCUGAAAAAUCCAUGCAUGCUCAAGCGCGCCACGCAGUGUUCGAUGAAGACGUACAGAUGUUGUGUUAUGAUUCUGCCUCAUCUUGUCAUGUAUUUCUUGGUCUGGUGGCAGAACCAUGGCAAAACCUCUUGUUAGGUGUGGAGAGAAACAUAUUAUUGUUCCCUUGACAUAAUAUGCGUUCUCUCUGGUGUCCCGUCUCUAAGCCCCGCCCUCUCGUUACCUCGUUAGCUUCUCCUUAGUGUUUGAUCCUUGUCACCUGCCCGUCACCCUCCCUGUGUUAUCAUCCCUCGUUUGUUUUCCCCUAUUUAAAGCCUCUGUUUUUCCUGUCCGGUGUUAGUUCAUUGUUCAAUGUUCCUCGUCUGUUGUUGUUCCAAGGGCCUGUGCCCGGUUGCAUAAAGCACCUUAAGUUUUUCCCUUAAGUGAUACACUUAAGGGGUGAUUUCCCCUUAUCUAAGGGAAUACCUUAAGGCCGUUGCAUAAAAUCCCUUAAAGGUUUCCCUUACCUAAGGGAAGUGUUUAAGUGUUUCACGACAUCGUCGCAGGUUUGCCGUUAUAAAAUUAUGUCGUUGCCAUAGAUACGCUUCUGUUUACACAAACGCAGAGGUUUCACGGGAGUUGGAGGACAAAACCCAUUGAGAAAUGGAUAAAGAAAACAAAAAAAGGAAGCCAAAUUGGACAGAGGAGGAGAAAUGUAUUCUUCUAGAUGAAUACGGGAAAAGAAAGGCCAUUUUAAAAAGCAAACUAAAUCCCAACGUAACUGCGUCACAAAAACAAAAGCAAUGGGAUGAAAUAACGGAAAAAAUAAACGCACGAAAUCUCGAUGUGAAGAGGACGGUUCAGGAGGUCAUAAAAAAUACGAAAACAUCUCUGUGGUAGCUAAAAAAGAGCUGAGUCUUUAUAAGAGGGAAUCCAACAAAACGGGUAAGUUAAAACUACACUAUUGCAUUUUUAAGAUUAUGUUAUCACUGCACCGUAUAGUGGAGAGUGCGUUGUGCUGCCGUAUAGUGUCACAGAGAGCUAACGAAAACUAAACUAACAAACAGGUGGAGGACCACCGCCGGCCGACUUGUCGGACUGUACCAAAAUUGUGCAAGACAUCCUUGGGGCGGACUCACCUAUCCUAGCUGGCAUUCCUGGCGGAAUAGAGAGCGAAGUUGAGCCAGUGCAACAAUGUAUCACAGAACCUUUACAGCCGUCUGAGGAACAGCAGAUACAGCACCGCCAGAGCGCCAGCAGAGCACCUGCCCAGGCAACAGCUAUAAGACCGCAAACAGUUCCAACAAGAGAAGAAGUGUUGGAACUACAGAGAGAGGUUCUGCAGCUACAAAAAGAAAAACUGCAGCUAGAGAUUGAGAAAAUAAGGAAGGAGAAGGAAAAUCAGGAACUCUAUCAAAUUAUUCUAAACAACCAACUUUUGCAGCUUCAGAGAGAAGGGAAAAUAACAAUCACACCAUUUGAGGAAUAAAUACUUUUUGUAUGGCAGAUCUGAAAAGUAUU